UACAGAGGAGCCAAGCGUUGUCCGGAUUGACUGGGCGUAAAGCGCACGCAGGCGGCCGUGCACGUGGGGUGUGAAAGCUGGCGGCUUAACUGCCAGACGCCACCUCAUACGGCACGGCUCGAGCCCGUGAGAGGUCCACGGAAUUGCCGGUGUAGUGGUGAAAUGCGUAGAGAGUCGGACAGGAACCAGCCCAGGGGGAAACCAGUGGACUGGCA
rnacentral:rRNA from 1 species